CCUACGGGGGGCAGCAGUGGGGAAUAUUGCACAAUGGGGGAAACCCUGAUGCAGCGACGCCGCGUGAGUGAAGAAGUAUUUCGGUACGUAAAGCUCUAUCAGCAGGGAAGAAAAUGACGGUACCUGACUAAGAAGCCCCGGCGAACUACGUGCCAGCAGCCGCGGUAAUACGUAGGGGGCAAGCGUUAUCCGGAUUUACUGGGUGUAAAGGGAGCGUAGACGGCAGCGCAAGUCUGGAGUGAAAUCCCAUGGCUGAACCAUGGAACUGCUUUGGAAACUGUGCAGCUAGAGUGCAGGAGAGGUAAGCGGAAUUCCUAGUGUAGCGGUGAAAUGCGUAGAUAUUAGGAGGAACACCAGUGGCGAAGGCGGCUUACUGGACUGUAACUGACGUUGAGGCUCGAAAGCGUGGGGAGCAAACAGGAUUAGAUACCCGUGUAGUC
rnacentral:rRNA from 1 species